AUUGAACGCUGGCGGCAUGCUUUACACAUGCAAGUCGAACGGCAGCGCGGGCUUCGGCCUGGCGGCGAGUGGCGAACGGGUGAGUAAUGCAUCGGAACGUGCCCAGUAGUGGGGGAUAGCCCGGCGAAAGCCGGAUUAAUACCGCAUACGACCUGAGGGUGAAAGCGGGGGACCGAAAGGCCUCGCGCUAUUGGAGCGGCCGAUGUCGGAUUAGCUAGUUGGUGGGGUAAAGGCUUACCAAGGCGACGAUCCGUAGCUGGUCUGAGAGGACGACCAGCCACACUGGGACUGAGACACGGCCCAGACUCCUACGGGAGGCAGCAGUGGGGAAUUUUGGACAAUGGGGGCAACCCUGAUCCAGCCAGGCCGCGUGCGGGAAGAAGGCCUUCGGGUUGUAAACCGCUUUUGUUCGGGAAGAAAUCCUCUGGGCUAAUACCCCGGGGGGAUGACGGUACCGGAAGAAUAAGCACCGGCUAACUACGUGC
rnacentral:rRNA from 1 species